rnacentral:rRNA from 1 species
GGGAAGGGGAAGGAGGUUGGGGCGGAAGGAGUGGAAGCCCUGCUCAAGAACUUGAGGAUUGCUGAGAAGAAGAAGAAGUGUGUGGUGCUAGGGACGGCAAGCGCAAGGGCGAAGGUAAACCCAAACCAAACUAUUGGGAAAGUGUUGUCCAAAAAAGCUGCGGAUGCGGAUGACAUUGCUCAGACUCUGGGGAGGAUUUGGUGCCCAAGGGAGGGUACCUUGUGCAAGGAGCUGAGGAGGAAUUUGUUCCUGCUCACUUUCGGCCAGGCGUCGGGGAAGAGGAAAGCGCUCGAAGGGGGGCCAUGGCUAGUGGGCAAAGAACUGCUGGUGCUGGAGGAUUUCGUUGCAAGCAAAACGUUGGAUGAUUAUGAGUUCUGGUACUUCUCGAUAUGGGUUAGGGUGUCAAACAUCCCUUUGGGAAUGAUGAAUAAAGAGACAGGAGAGCUGAUUGGACAAGCAAUGGGGGAAUUCAUGGAAGCGGAGAUAGAUGCAGAGGACAUGGCAGUGGGGGAGUCACUACUUCAGGAUGCUGCUAACGCGACACUACGAUCAGAGACCCUUCGACGAAACUGUGUGCGAUGCAAUAAUCGCAAACGGUGGUGUAAAAAACUGUCAAAAAAGGUGCAAAACGUUUGCGAUGGCGGAGCCAUCAAACACGGUUCAGAUUUUAGUUGCGUGUGCGAUGCAGGGCAUACAGUUCAGUUCAAUAAACUGUUUGCGAUGAGGCGGAACAAAAGAAACGGGCAGCCAGAUGAAGGUGUGUGCGAUAUACAGCAUACGGUUCACUCGGAUGAACUGUUUGUGAUGAGGAGGAACAAUAGAAACGGGCAGCUAGAUAAAGGUGUGUGCAAUUGA